UCCAGACUCCUACGGGAGGCAGCAGUGGGGAAUAUUGCACAAUGGGCGAAAGCCUGAUGCAGCAACGCCGCGUGAAGGAAGAAGGAUUUCGGCUCGUAAACUUCUAUCAACAGGGACGAAAGAAAUGACGGUACCUGAGUAAGAAGCUCCGGCUAAAUACGUGCCAGCAGCCGCGGUAAUACGUAUGGAGCAAGCGUUAUCCGGAUUUACUGGGCGUAAAGGGAGCGUAGGCGGCCUGCCAAGUCUGAUGUGAAAUACCGGGGCUCAACCCCGGGGCUGCAUUGGAAACUGGCAGGCUGGAGUGCCGGAGAGGCAGGCGGAAUGCGCAGUGUAGCGGUGAAAUGCUUAGAUAUUGCGCAGAACUCCGAUUGCGAAGGCAGCAUACCGGCGGCGAUCUGACGCUGAGGCACGAAAGCGUGGGUAUCGAACAGGAUUAGAUACCCUCGUACC
rnacentral:rRNA from 1 species